UAAUACGUAGGGAGCAAGCGUUGUCCGGAAUCAUUGGGCGUAAAGCGCGCGUAGGUGGCCUCAUAAGUCCGCUGUGAAAGUCAAAGGCUCAACCUUUGAAAGCCGGUGGAUACUGUGAGGCUAGAGUACGGAAGAGGCGAGUGGAAUUCCUGGUGUAGCGGUGGAAUGCGCAGAUAUCAGGAGGAACACCAAUAGCGAAGGCAGCUCGCUGGGACGUUACUGACACUGAGGCGCGAAAGCGUGGGGAGCGAACAGGAUUAGAUACCCUGGUAGUCCACGCCGUAAACGAUGGGUACUAGGUGUGGGAGGUGUCGACUCCUCCCGUGCCGUCGCUAACGCACUAAGUACCCCGCCUGGGGAGUACGGCCGCAAGGCUA
rnacentral:rRNA from 1 species